UUCUAAGCUCUAGAUUUCGAAACGCCGCGUUCCGUGUUCUCCUUCCCUAUUCCGCACGUCCUCUGAUUUCGGCGGUGUUUCUCGUGCUCGUGCUCUCAUGAAACUACAAGGCUCUACUGGAACUCUGCUGAAAAUUCUCGUAUUGCUCACAAAUUUCUGGUCUUUAAAUAGACUGAUUAUGCAGUGAUAACCGGAGCUAACUUCCUAACCAACCAAUGGUUAGUUGCUGUUUAAAUAAUAAUAGAGGAUCAGGAAAAGCAAAGUCCUCUACACUGUGCCUGUAAAAUGAAGGAUUCAACUGUGUGUAAAUUGAAUAAACAACGACAGGUAUUUCAGCCACAAGACCUAGAGGCGGUUAGAUGAACUUUUACAACCUUGCAAGUUUGCUAGUUGGAGAUUUGGCAGGAUACAGCUUAGCGAAAUGUAAUGGUAUUAUUGCUGGUGGUAUAAAGUUGAGGUUGGGUAUGGCUACUGAACUAGCAAUUACACAGUCAAGGAAUGGUGUGAAGACAUUUUUUCAUUUGCUUGCACUUGAAAUUCUCCAGUCUCCAUUCUCCAUUCUCCAUUCCCACAUUUUUCAAUUUGUGUACGAGUGCUUUUCUUAUUUUCAUGAGAGGAACUCGAUUAAUUUAUUUCCCACGAUGGAAUUUAGAGGGGGAAAAGAAAAAGAAUAUCUAUUUCAGACUUUCAGCGGCCUAUUAUAAUUCAUUUGGUGGUCUGCAUCUUCUUUACAGCUUAUAUCUCGUAAUUAUUAAGUUACAGUGAAAACGAUCAAGUAUUUCCAAACUAGUCAUGUUUAUAAGCAUAGGGAUGUUUCAUCUGGGGUUACAUGCUCUGAAAACCCGACACUAAAAUUCUUAAUUAUUAUUGUCUGAGGAGGAAUAUCUUUCUCUUCUUUUCUAGUUCUUGGGGAAGUAAAAUAAAAUCAUUACUUCUGAUGAUUAUUGAAAAGCAAAGUGUGCUUUGCUUAAAGGGCUUUUGGGAGCUGUUUGCGAUCAGGCGUUUGCCAGAACUUGUUUCUGAAUGGCUGGUCUCUAUUACAAUACAAUACAGUACAACGAAGCCUGGUGGCUAUGCAUGAAAUUCCUGCAAGAGACAAAAAGCAUGAGAGACAGUUGCAACCUACAAAGUGAGCAAUUCAAAGCUUUCUUUUUUUCCAAUUAUAAUGUUAUAUGUUUAUAUUUAUGUUUCCUUCAAAACCCAUUUAGAAAAAUCAGCGAAAGAAUAAACCAAAAUUAGUAGAGAGAGAAAGUCAGGAGAUGUCAGGAAGAAGGGAUGUGAAGGGGAACUUUCAUCAUCAAUCUCAAUAGCUUUCAAAGAGAACCGAAUCAGACAAAAGCUUGGGAUUAAGAAAAGGAUGUUGCUUUUGGGGGAAAAAAAUAAUAUAAUAUUUAAAAAAAAUGAAAAAAAAGAAACCAGGAAUCUCACUGUAUACAUUGCUUUUUACAGAACUCUAAGCCCCCACUUUUCAUCAUUCUUUCACCGCUAGAAUGAUUAGUCAUAUUUACUAUCCCAACUAAAAUUCUUAAAAGACACCCUCUCUGCCUGAACUGAACUGGAGAGAGAGGGACAUCACUUCUACUAGAAAACCUAACGCCCAAAAAGAAGAUAGGAAAUUUUUGGAUGUUUCCCCUCUUCCUCUUCUAUGGGAAUAUUGACCCAUCUUUCUCUCUCUCUUUGAAAACUACAAAGAAGCUUCUUCCUUUCAAUUCCAUUCCUUUUGUUCACUCAACUUUCGU